UUUAGCUAUGCUAACACGAGGCUGUUAGUAAGUUAACACUACUGGCUUAGCUCGCUAGUUUUAAUAAGCGAAAAAUGUGGUUUUUUUAAAGGAUAAACUAGAGCUUCGAAUGAAUUCGCUAACGUUACACCUGUUGGCGGACAUGAUUCCCGCGAUCAUGCUUCAGGUUGCAUUCCUACUCCAUAUGACCAACGAAGAAGAAGCCCGCGCUUUUGAUGUGAUCACGGAUAUUAAUCUGGUCAUCUCAGUCUCAAACCGCUGACCGCCUGAUGCAUAUUACACAUGAAAAUCUGCACUUCUGAUUUUCUGACUUUAUGCAACGUCUAGGAGUCGGGAUGCAUCAGAGCAACUGGAAAUGAAGUUUACAAGCAGUCCUCCGCCGGUCCGGAUAAAAGCACCUCCGGCGUUAAUCGCGGAGGAAUACGCUACACUGAUCCCAGAUCAGUACACGGGAACCGACGGCCGAACAGAUUCCCCGCAGCUCUGCUGUCAUUCACGGCCGCAAACUCAACACUUUCCUGUUUUACCGCGGAGGUCUGUCUGCAGGGCAGAGGAAAGUAAGAGAACGGCUUCAUCCUCGAGUGCCACAGCGGCAGCUAUUGAAUAUUGAGGGAUGUGCGCCGUGGGAAAUAAGUGCAGUUCUACAGCAGGACGAUGGAGAUUGAUGGAACGCCAGAGGAGAAACCAAUAAUGAGAGUCAGGAAGCCUUUACCUUCACUAUAACCAGGGUCAUUCUGUAAAACGACUGCGUCGCUCAGUAACAUAUGCAAAUUGGAAUUUUCUGGCAUUUUCUUUCGAUGAUUUAAGCCUGUCAAUAUGCUAGUGCACUGUUUUAAUUGCUUCUUUUAGUGCUGCCUAGUGUACUGUCUUACUACCUUUACUGCCUACUACCUUUAACACGCUAGUGUACU